rnacentral:rRNA from 1 species
CCUACGGGUGGCUGCAGUGAGGAAUAUUGGUCAAUGGGCGUAAGCCUGAACCAGCCAAGUCGCGUGAGGGAUGAAGGUUCUAUGGAUCGUAAACCUCUUUUAUAAAGGAAUAAAGUGAGGCACGUGUGCCUUUUUGUAUGUACUUUAUGAAUAAGGAUCGGCUAACUCCGUGCCAGCAGCCGCGGUAAUACGGAGGAUCCGAGCGUUAUCCGGAUUUAUUGGGUUUAAAGGGAGCGUAGAUGGGUUGUUAAGUCAGUUGUGAAAGUUUGCGGCUCAACCGUAAAAUUGCAAUUGAUACUGGCAGCCUUGAGUACAGUUGAGGUAGGCGGAAUUCGUGGUGUAGCGGUGAAAUGCUUAGAUAUCACGAAGAACUCCGAUUGCGAAGGCAGCUUACUAAACUGCCACUGACAUUGAUGCUCGAAAGUGUGGGUAUCAAACAGGAUUAGAUACCCGAGUAGUC